CUCAAUCAGAUUAGUAUAUGGUCGAGGCCAUGCAACCGGUGAUGCAGCAAAGACCCCAGUUGAUGGUGCAAAAGAGAUGAGUAACAAGGAAGAUGGUACCAGCAAAGAGCUUACUUCAUCAUCAACUUCCGCAAGCUUAAAGAGGCAGCAUGUAGAGCUGUAAUUCUUGUUUCAGGAUGUGUCAUUGUUGCUGUUUUGAGCGUGUGUUGCUGUCAUUUUGAGCGUGUAUGUGUGGUGUUGUGUUUCCCAUGUGCAGGCAGACAGAUGAGAGGCGAGAAAAUUUAGAGAGGGGAGAGAGCUUGCCUGUGUACAGAAGCAAAUUCUAUGUUUGAAGACACCCAAACAACAUUUAGAAUUCAAUUCUAGGAAAAAGAUUCUAUGUUUACCCAAACAGAAAAA
rnacentral:lncRNA from 1 species